rnacentral:rRNA from 1 species
GACGAACCGAGCGAACGUUGUUCGGAAUCACUGGGCUUGAAGGGCGCGUAGGCGGGCUGUCAAGUCUGGGGUGAAAUCCCGCGGCUCAACCGUGGAACUGCCUUAGAUACUGACGGCCUCGAGGGAGGUAGGGGCGAGCGGAACUGUGAGUGGAGCGGUGAAAUGCGUUGAUAUUCACAGGAACUCCGGUGGCGAAGGCGGCUCGCUGGACCUUUUCUGACGCUGAGGCGCGAAAGCUAGGGGAGCAAACGGG